CCUACGGGCGGCAGCAGUGGGGAAUAUUGCGCAAUGGGCGAAAGCCUGACGCAGCGACGCCGCGUGAGGGAUGAAGGUCUUCGGAUCGUAAACCUCUGUCAGCAGGGAAGAACGGUCCCUGUGCUAAUCAGCAGUGACUUGACGGUACCUGCCCAGGAACCACCGGAUAACUACGUGGCCGAAGCCGCGGUAAUACGGAGGGUUGGAGCGUGAGUCGGAAUUACUGGGCGUAAAGCGCUCGUAGGCGGUAUGGCAAGUCACGGGUGAAAGCCCGGGGCUCAACGUGGGAACUGCCUUUGAAACGGGCAAACUGGAGUAUGGGAGAGGAUAGUGGAAUUCCUGGUGUAGGGGUGAAAUCCGUAGAUAUCAGGAGGAACAUCAGUGGCGAAGGCGACUAUCUGGCACAUAACUGACGCUGAGGAGCGAAAGCGUGGGGAGCAAACAGGAUUAGAUACCCUGGUAGUC
rnacentral:rRNA from 1 species